GACGAACGCUGGCGGCGUGCUUAACACAUGCAAGUCGAGCGGAAAGGCCACUUCGGUGGUACUCGAGCGGCGAACGGGUGAGUAACACGUGAGUAAUCUGCCCUUCACUUCGGGAUAGCUCCGGGAAACCGGGAUUAAUACCGGAUGGGACUACCGGCUGCAUGGUCUGGUGGUGGAAAGUUUUUUCGGUGGGGGAUGUGCUCGCGGCCUAUCAGCUUGAUGGUGGGGUAAUGGCCUACCAUGGCUUCGACGGGUAGCCGGCCUGAGAGGGUGACCGGCCACACUGGGACUGAGACACGGCCCAGACUCCUACGGGAGGCAGCAGUGGGGAAUAUUGGACAAUGGGCGGAAGCCUGAUCCAGCAACGCCGCGUGAGGGAUGACGGCCUUCGGGUUGUAAACCUCUUUCAGCACCGACGAAGCGCAAGUGACGGUAGGUGCAGAAGAAGGACCGGCCAACUACGUGCCAGCCGCCGCCGUAACAC
rnacentral:rRNA from 1 species